AAAUGCCUACGGGGCGCAGCAGUAGGGAAUUUUGCGCAAUGGGGGAAACCCUGACGCAGCAACGCCGCGUGCGGGACGAAGGCCUUCGGGCUGUAAACCGCUUUCAGCAGGGACGAAUUCCGACGGUACCUGCAGAAGAAGCCCCGGCUAACUACGUGCCAGCAGCCGCGGUAAUACGUAGGGGGCGAGCGUUAUCCGGAUUCAUUGGGCGUAAAGCGCGCGUAGGCGGCGCGUCAAGCGGGACCUCUAACCCCGGGGCUCAACCCC
rnacentral:rRNA from 1 species